AACUUUCAGCAACGGAUCUCUUGGCUCUCGCAUCGAUGAAGAACGCAGCGAAAUGCGAUAAGUAAUGUGAAUUGCAGAAUUCAGUGAAUCCAUCGAAUCUUUGAACGCACCUUGCGCUCCUUGGUAUUCCGAGGAGCAUGCCUGUUUGAGUGUCAUU
rnacentral:rRNA from 1 species